rnacentral:sRNA from 1 species
UGAUGGCCAUUGCUGACAUCCUUACUGAAUCUGUUGAUCACCCAGACUGA